rnacentral:rRNA from 1 species
AUUGAACGCUGGCGGCAGGCCUAACACAUGCAAGUCGAACGAGUGGCGGACGGGUGAGUAAUGCCUGGGAAACUGCCCGAUGGAGGGGGAUAACUACUGGAAACGGUAGCUAAUACCGCCUACCAUCGGAUUUGCCCAGUUGGGAUUCGCUAGUAGGUGGGGUAAUGGCUCACCUAGGCCACGAUCCCUAGCUGGUCUGAGAGGAUGACCCGCCAAACUGGAACUGGGACACGGUCCAGCCUCCUACGGGAGCCAGCAGUGGGAAACAUUGCACAAGGGGCGCAAGCCUGAUGCAGCCAUGCCGCGUGUAUGAAGAGGGCCUUCGGGUUGUAAAGUACUUUCAGCGAGGAGGCGUUACUCGCAUAAGAAGCACCGGCUAACUCCGUGCCAGCAGCCGCGGUAAUUC